rnacentral:rRNA from 1 species
GCCCGUGUCGUGAGAUGUUGGGUUAAGUCCCGCAACGAGCGCAACCCUUGUCUCUAGUUGCUACGAAAGGGCACUCUAGAGAGACUGCCGGUGACAAACCGGAGGAAGGUGGGGAUGACGUCAAGUCCUCAUGGCCCUUAUGGGUAGGGCUUCACACGUCAUACAAUGGUGCAUACAGAGGGUUGCCAAGCCGCGAGGUGGAGCUAAUCCCAGAAAAUGCAUCGUAGUCCGGAUCGUAGUCUGCAACUCGACUACGUGAAGCUGGAAUCGCUAGUAAUCGCGGAUCAGCAUGCCGCGGUGAAUACGUUCCCGGGUCUUGUACACACCGCCCGUCACACCAUGGGAGUGGG